rnacentral:rRNA from 2 species
GCGAAGAGGUCACACCCGUUCCCAUUCCGAACACGGCAGUUAAGCUCUUCAGCGCCGAUGGUAGUUGGGGGUUUCCCCCUGUGAGAGUAGGACGCCGCCAAGC